rnacentral:rRNA from 1 species
GGAGUCACGCCAGAAAUCUUACCCGGAGAGACAGCAGAAUGAAGGUCAAGCUGAAGACUUUACCAGACAAGCUGAGAGGUGGUGCAUGGCCGUCGCCAGCUCGUGCCGUGAGAUGUCCUGUUAAGUCAGGUAACGAGCGAGAUCCCUGCCUCUAGUUGCCACCAUUACUCUCGGGAGUAGUGGGGCGAAUUAGCGGGACCGCCGCAGUUAAUGCGGAGGAAGGAAGGGGCCACGGCAGGUCAGUAUGCCCCGAAACUCUGGGGCCACACGCGGGCUGCAAUGGUAGCGACAAUUGGUUUCGAAUCCGAAAGGAUGAGGUAAUCCACAAACGCUACCACAGUUAUGACUGAGGGCUGCAACUCGCCCUCACGAAUAUGGAAUCCCUAGUAACUGCGUGUCAUUAUCGCGCGGUGAAUACGUCCCUGCUCCUUGCACACACCGCCCGUCGUUUCAUUGAAGUGAGCUUUUAGCGAGGUGACGUCUGAUUGGCGUUAUCGAACUUGAGGUUCGUGACAAGGGAAAAGUCGUAACAAGGUGACCGUAGGGGAACCUGCGGUCGGAUCA